rnacentral:rRNA from 1 species
GACGAACGCUGGCGGCGUGCUUAACACAUGCAAGUCGAACGGAACGGCCCUGCUUUUGUGGGGUGCUCGAGUGGCGAACGGGUGAGUAACCCGUGAGUAACCUGCCCUUGACUUUGGGAUAACUUCAGGCAACUGGGGCUCAUACCGGAUAGGAGCUCCUGCUGCUUGGUGGGGGUUGGAAAGUUUCGGCGGUUGGGGAUGGACUCGCGGCUUAUCAGCUUGUUGGUGGGGUAGUGGCUUACCAAGGCUUUGACGGGUAGCCGGCCUGAGAGGGUGACCGGCCACAUUGGGACUGGAAUACGGCACAGACUCGUACGGGAGGCAGCAGUGGGGAAUAGUGCACAAUGGGCGGAAGCCUGAUGCAGCAACGCCGCGUGCGGGAUGACGGCCUUCGGGUUGGAAACCGCCUUCGCCUGUGACGAAGCGUGAGUGACGGUAAUGGGUAAAGAAGCACCGGCUAACUACGUG